rnacentral:lncRNA from 1 species
GCGCGGCCUCCAGCUUGUAGGCGCCGCUGCUGCUCGCCGGCGACGUGGCGCUCUUGGGCAGCGGCUGCAGCGCGUGCUCCGGCCUCUCGGCCUCCAUGGCGAAGCUGACGGGCCGCAGGAAGCAGAUGUCCAGGCUGGACUCGGAGGAGGCAGGCGAGCAGUUGUCGAAGAGCGCCGGCGCCUGGAAGGGCUCCUCGUCGUAGGGCGCGGGCAGCGCGAAGAUCUCGCCGCCGUACUCGAACUCCUCGUAGCCGGCGGGCACGAAGCCGCGCGCGUCGGGCAGGAGCUCGGGCGGACCGCGCAGCGAGCGCUCCACGUUGCCUAGCGGCUCGGCGGAAGACGGCUCGAAGUCCAUCUCCGGGAUGGCCUGCAGAGGCCCGGCGAGCGCCUUCACGUCCUGCUCGGCCGCGCAGAACUGAGCCGGCGCCAGCAGGCUCUCGGGCCGCUCGUGCUUCCUGCCCUCCAGCUCCCAGUCUCCAGGCUUCCCGGGCUGCAUGCUCUCCAUGAGGCUCUGCUGCUGCUGGCCUUUCUUUGCCGGGGCCAUCAGAUGUCUUUAAAGGGGAAACGGCACAAGAGAGACUAUCAAAUAGUGCUGAGCACUCGUCGACCAAUCGGCCAAAGGCCAGCUUCUCUCCUCAUCUCCCAGGCACCUUCGUGGGUCACCUAAAAAGCUCCACAAACUGACUAGAGGGCUUUCUCAAGUGACUGGAGAGAUAGCUCAGCGGUUAAGAGCACUGACUGCUCUUCUAGAGGUCCUGAGUUCAAAUCCCAGCAGCCACAUGGUGGCUCACAACCAUCCGUAAUGAGAUCCGAUGCCCUCUUUCCAGUGUACUUAUAGAUCGAUAGAUACAUACAUACAUACAUACUACAAAAAAAAAAAAAAGCAGCAGCCAGGAAAGUCUCAGCUUCCAAGCUCAGUCACUGAGACAUCACAUGGCGGGCAGACAAAGGCUGUCACUAUUGCUGGGGCCUGGUGGAAGCUCUGAACCUUCCUGCCACCACCUCUGCCUCCCAAGGCAUGUCUUUUCAAUUUAUCUCCCUGUCUUACUGUGACAGAGUCAUAUAGAAUACCAGAAAAUGAACUUAAUAUAACUCCUAGAUCUUCACACGUAAACAAUUGUGUUCCUGAAUAAACUGUUGAACUCUGGAUGCUGAUAUAGUGGAUAAACUCAUGUGUAAAAUUUAUAUUUCUAUAACAAAGGUUUUUAAAGUUUUGUAGCUGUAAAGCAGUUUGACUGUCAUCUCAAACGACCCACAAAACAAUGUGUUGUAAAACCUAUUUGAAUUUGCCCAGUUUUGCAGUUUUGUUGUCUGGGAGCACAUAAUUUUUACACAGUUUAAAAAGUGAAGAAUACCCAUCACUUAGGAUUUUUGUUUUUGCUUACCUACUAGAUAUCAAUGAGCUACUGCACACUGACCAAAGUGGUUAUUCUUAUUUAUAUUUUAAUUCCGUCAGGAUUAUAUAUGGAUGCACAUGUGAAUACUAACAAUAUUUUAAGGCAUUGCAAGACAUCUUCGAGUGGGACUUAGGGCUUUAAGUUUACAGAUGUGAAGAAAGUAAAGUGACUUUACAUCAGUGCUCUUUACUCUGGAAGAGUGUAGAAACAGCCAAAGUUUGGCCCGGGUGUGAUGCACAUCUUUCCCCCUCGACCUGUUGUACUUGAAGGAGAAUAAACACUUCACACUAAUUAAAGAGUUGAAGUAAUACUCAAA